GAGGAGGAAGUCCUCUGAAGAGAGUAAAACACUUAAAGCAACACCAGAAUUCUCUUGGGAUAUGUGAGGACAACAGCUGCCUGCGUGUGCUGGAGACCUUGGACGAAGUUCCCAAGUCCUAUCCACAGCUACAGGUUUGAAGUGACGUCUAACUUACAAGAAGCAGCAAGAGUCAUCUAAAGAGCUUUGGACACAGCCAGGCCCUCCCGCCUUCAC
rnacentral:lncRNA from 13 species